rnacentral:rRNA from 1 species
GGGGCAAGCGUUAUCCGGAUUUACUGGGUGUAAAGGGAGCGUAGACGGCGAUGCAAGUCAGAAGUGAAAGCCCGCGGCUCAACUGCGGGACUGCUUUUGAAACUGUAUGGCUGGAGUGCAGGAGAGGUAAGCGGAAUUCCUGGUGUAGCGGUGAAAUGCGUAGAUAUCAGGAGGAACACCAGUGGCGAAGGCGGCUUACUGGACUGUAACUGACGUUGAGGCUCGAAAGUGCGGGUAUC